rnacentral:rRNA from 1 species
UACAGAGGUGCCAAGCGUUAGGCGGAAUCACUGGGCUUAAAGCGCGUGUAGGUGGACGGGUAAGUAUCUUGUGAAAUCCCGCAGCUCAACUGCGGAACUGCGUCGGAUACUAUUCGGCUUGAGGAAUGGAGGGGAGACUGGAAUUCUCGGUGUAGCAGUGAAAUGCGUAGAUAUCGAGAGGAACACCAGUGGCGAAGGCGAGUCUCUGGACAUUUCCUGACGCUGAGGCACGAAAGCCAGGGGAGCAAACGGG